rnacentral:tRNA from 1 species
GCAGGUAUAGCUCAGUGGUAAAGCUCAUGCUUAGCAUGCACGAGGUCCUGGGUUCAAUCCCCAGUACCUCUG